GCGGGUGUAAUUCAGUGGCAGAAUGUCAGCUUCCCAAGCUGAACGUCGCCGGUUCAAAUCCGGUCACCCGCU
rnacentral:tRNA from 1 species